rnacentral:lncRNA from 1 species
UGGAGAAUGAAAAUGACAACCAAGUCUUUAUUUCCUGUAAUGUAGGGAUGUUAUUUUUGAUUAAAAAAAUUUUAUCCAAACAACAUAAAGAAUACUUUUACAGAAUUAUUAGUCCAUUUGUAUAUGUAGGAUUUUGCUUCAUUCUUAAUGAAGCCAUACAUUCAAAACAUAUAUUCCAACUUUGAGAGGUUUGAUUCAAUCCGAAUAGACUUGAGGAUUGCCAUAAAAAAAUCAUCUCAUCAUAGUCAA